rnacentral:lncRNA from 10 species
CAUCUCAAAAAACAAAAAAAUCAAAAACAAAACAAAACAAAACAAAACAAAAAAACACUGCUCCUUAUUGUGCAGAGGCCAAAUGCCAGCUGCAUCGUAUUGCAUUUCCACCAUUUCUUAUGAUAGAGUUAAGAGAAUGUUAAGAUACAGCAAAACACUGCUGCCAAACCUCCAUCAAAGGACAGUGAAGACUGAGACAGUCCAAAGUCCAGACGGAGCCCAGCGGGAUGGCUCAUCUCUGCUCCAUGUGAUGUCUGCUGAGGCUGGCAUGCCCAGGGUGGUGUCUUCAUCUGUUUGGUACUUUGGCUAAGAUUGCUCCGAUUGCCAGGGGUGGCUCAGCCGCAGUCGUACUUGGGAAGCCUCGGCUCCCACUGUUAGUUGAGUUCUUUGGUUCUCCUCCUCAUAGUCUCAGGACGUUUCCCUCUCCAAGUGGCCUUUCUGGGUCAUCUUUCCAGCAGAGAGCCGGACUUCUUACAUCUUAUUUCUGACAUGACAGCUCUCGAGGGUGCAAAAGUGGAAACUGCCAGGCCUUCUCAAGGCUUAGGACUGGAACUGGCCCUGUGUCACUUCUGACUCAUUCUGUCCGUUAAAGCAAGCGACACAGGCUCAGCGCAUAUUCUAGAGGAGAGGACUACACGAGGGUGUGAAUGUUGGGAGGCAUGACUCGCUGGGGACCAUCGAGGUUGCAAAAUGUGUCCAUGCUUCCCAGGAAUACUUACAAAUAUGCUAUUGGGGACCAUUCUGGAAUUUUUCACUUGGAAAUGAAAAGAAGGGGGAGAAGCUGACCCCAGAGAACAGGAAAACAUGGAGCUACUUGGAUUACACACUGAGAAAGUGAAAAACGGACUGGCAGCUGGAAGCUGCCACAGGGGCCAUAAUGUUUCCAAAUGAAUAUGAACUGCUUUUGCAGAAUAUCACAAUACGUGGGCAAGGUAAAUGUUAUGAAGAAUCAUCAAACUUCCCCUGCUUCCGGAUGGCGCCCAAUUCAGAACCCACUUACAUUCCUGGAAACCCUCCUUCGGCUCACCCAGCAUGAGCCCACAUCCUAGAGGCCUCUCCCAACUCAGUCCUUCCCGUCUGUGUGCACUCCCCAGUGGCAGCCCAAGCUUAAAUGAGGGAAUGGUCCUGGUGGUCCUCCGCUGGGGGCGCUGGGGCAACAUGUGUUCAUACAUUCUUUAUUCAAUGACUUUUACAGUCUGACCCACACUUCUUCCUUUCUUCCCAAGGCUUCAGGCUGCCUCGUCCCAGGGUCCGACUCCAUCUCCAGCACUCAGGCCCCCUAGGACUAGCCUAGAUACACGGACCUCCUGGGAUGGGGAAGCACUGUCUUAGCAUUGACCAGAGGGGCAGCUUCUGAAGGCCUGACCUCAGCACAUGCAAAGGGAGGAGUUCCCAGUCGGACCUGGCAGCCUUCCGGGUAUGCGCCCCUGUCUGAGGAGCACACCUGCUCACUCUCAGGGUAGGCUGGACUGAGGAAUUGACCGACCUCACCUGUUGGGUCAAGGUCAGCCUCUUUACUCUGUGUCCCCGGUGAGGGACAGGGCCCAGCCCUGAUCAGGGAUGUUCUGGUGGGGGGUCAGCUCUGAAGAAGCCAUGGGGAAAGAAUGCUAAACUCAGGGAAGCAAAGGGCAGAACUGAGGGUGGAGGUCAAAACCCAUCCCUGCUCAGAAGAGAGGACAGGACCCAUGGGGAAAGCAGGAACAGGCUGAAGCCCCACAGGUCAUUCUGGACACCAUGGCUGAGGCCACCCCCCGUGCCUGCCAUGGGCAGAUGCUUUAUUCUCUUUCUUUUUCUUUUUUCUUUUUUCUUUUUUUAUGCCUCACCUUGCUCUGCCCUGCCCUGCUUUGCUUCUUUUCUUUUUUUUUUUAGAUGGAGUCUCGCUCUUGUUGCCCAGGCUGGAGUGCAGUGGCACAAUCUCAGCUCGCUGCAACCUCCGGCUCCUGGGUUAAACCGAUUCUCCGGAGUAGUGGGGAUUACAGGCACCUGCCACCACGUGCAGCAAAUUUUUGUAUUUUUAGUAGAGACGGGGUUUCACCAUCUUGGCCAGGCUGGUCUCGAACUCCUGACCUCAUGAUCCACCCGCCUCAGACUCCCAAAGUGUUGGGAUUACAAGCAUGAGCCACCACACCCAGCCUCUUUUCUUUUCUUUCUUUUUGACAGAGUCUCGCUCUUUUUGCCCAGGCUGGAGUGCAAUGGCACCAUCUUGGCUCAAUGUAACCUCCACCUCCCAGGGUCCGACUCCAUUUCCAGUGAUUCUCCUCUUUCAGCCUCCCAAGUAGCUGGGAUUACUGGCAUGCACCAUCACCCCUGGCUAAUUUUUGUAUUUUUAGUAGAGAUGAGGUUUCACCAUGUUGGCCAGGCUGGUCUCAAACUCCUGACCUCAUGAUCCACUCGCCUCGGCCUCCCAAAGUGUUGGGAUUACAGGCAUGAGCCACCGCUCCUGGCCUUUUUCUUUCCUUUUUUCUUUUUUUUUUUAGAGACGGAGUUUUGCCGUGUUGGCCAGGCUGGUCUCAAACUCCUGGACUCAGGCAAUCCGCCUGCCUUAGCCUCCCAAAGUGCUGGGAUUUCAGGCAUGAGCCACUGUACCCAGCUGGCAGAUGCUUUAUAAAUGCCUCCACAAGCCUCUGUUUUGGGGGUCUCAAGAUCACCCUCGAGUUUGAUGUUUCGCUAGAAGAGCUCACAUGAUUCAGUAGCAGGCUAUAUUCACGGCUAACCUUUAUGACACAAAGGAUACAAAGUCAAAGCGACAGUUAAGAGGUAUGCCCGGGUGCUGGGAGGCCAAGGCGGGCGGACCACGGUGUCAGGAGAUCGACACCAUCCUGGCUAACACGGUGAAACCCCGUCUCUACUAAAAAAAAAAUACAAAAAAUUAGCUGGGUGUGGUGGCGGACACCUGUAGUCCCAGCUACUCCGGAGGCUGAGGCAGGAGAAUGGCGUGAACCCGGGAGGCAGAGCUUGCAGUGAGCCGAGAUCACGCCACUGCACUCCAGCCUGGGUGACAGAGUGAGACUCCGUCUAAAAAAAAAAAAAAAAAAAAAAGUGACAGGUGCGACUUGAACCUAAGGCCAUGAGGGGAGGGCACAUAACAGUUAAGAGCACGGACUCGGAGGACAGAUAACACUGUUCCUAGUGUUGGUGCUGCUCUGAAUCCCAGUGUUGCCAUGAGCAAUUCCAGCCCAUCUGUAAACAAAAAUAAAA